rnacentral:misc_RNA from 1 species
GAAAAGGUUAAAGAGAGAAAGUAAAAUUUCUCUAUCUAUUUAGCCAACCCUUGCAAAAUUACAAGUCUUUACCCCUUUGUACACGGGUAAUUACAAGAUGUACAAGGCCUUAAAUAUCCAAGAAAUAGUUAACCCUUUUUUUUUCUGGGCCUAUUUUUCUUGUCCAGUUGUUUUAAACUACGGAACAAGAAAAUUACAUAGUCUCAUUCCACCCUUAAUGGCAUUUCUUAAAGGGGUGGGUACAAUUAUAUAUAUAAAUAUAUCAAAUUUUCUACUGCUCGAUCUUUAGUCUUCACAGCCUUGGCUGCCCUUGCAGGGAGACUCGUUUCCACUCUACCAAACGUUGCAAAAAAUCCAUCACCUGCAAGAAUAUUCCAAAUGUACAUAAGCUAACUAUAAACUGUAUAGGCAUGCAAAAGUAUAUAUGGAAAAAAAAGUGCAUAAAUUGGCAAAAAUACUUGCCUGGGUGGGUUCCUGUAGAGAAUAAGAUGCACUUGUGUCCUUUGGAUAUUUAGAGACUAGGAUACCAAAGCCAUGUCCUCUCUCUCUUAAUACCUAUUCACAAUAAAAAUAAAUAAAUAAAACCCCAUAUAACCAUUAGCCAUAAAGAUCAAAAUUUUUUAAAAAAAUGAAUAAUGAAAAAUAGUAAAAUUUAAACAUUGGAUACCUUGAAUGCAUCUUCAUCUGUUCUAUCAUCUCCAAUAUAAACAGGGAAAACAUCGGUACAGUUGGCAAAUCCUGUAGCAAUAUUACCAGAGUUAGAGGUGAUUUGCCAGUGACGAAUAUAGUAUUAAGAUCUAGUGAAUAAAGUAAUCUAGUGGGUGGAGGUGGCUUCUUUUUAGACAAUCAAAUCAAAUUAAAUAAUAACGUCUUAAUUAUUAUUAAUGAAGUUGAUAAAUGGACGAGUAAUGCCACAGAAAACUCACCAAGUGACUCCAACAAAAAUUCAAGAGCUUUCCCUUUGUCCCAUUUAAUUGUAGGACGGAUUUCCAGUACCUGUUUAUAAAAUAAAAUAUUAAUAUUAGAAAGUUUUUCAAAAAAUAAUAAUUAAAAAAUUUAAACGAAUUAUUAGUUGCCACGUCACACCUUCCUCCCUUGAGUAAGUCUCAGCUUUGGGUAGUCUUUCAAGACUGACCUAACCACUUGGGCCAGUUCACUCCAUUUCUGUAAUUUUCAUGCAUAAGUUAGUUAACAUUACACUUGAAAAAGUAUACAUAUAGUAUAUAACAGAUAACUGUGAUUGAUUUGAUUCCCUAUUAUUUCCUACCUUCUCAUCAACACAUCGAAAAUGGACUGACACACAGAACUUAUUGUUCUCCACCUUAGCCCCUGGAGUUGAUUUUGUUUUCUCUAUCAAUUCCUUGUAAACCUCAUCGAUCAUGGGUAGAAAUUCACUUGCAGGCUGGAAUAUGAGAGCUUCACUUCCUUUCUUGUAUUUGGAGCCUUUUGCUGGUCCUUUAAUGUCCAUGCCAUGGCUUCCAGCAUAGUACAGCUCUGCUAAUCGUACAAAUUUAUACACCUUGUCUCUGCAUCUCCCACUCACUAUAGCAGUAGGGAAACACCUCGCAAGCUUUCUCACUGUUGCUCUCAUCUUCUUGGACAUGAAAGCUCGAUCUGGGUCAUCAACAAUAGGAGAAAGGGUGCCAUCAUAGUCCAAAAACAUCACUAUUUGCUUCCCUUUCGAGGCCUCAAUUAUCUGCUCAAACAUGUCCAAGGCCGAUGGGUGAUGAAGAACCCACGAGCCUUGGUCGUCAGUGAGAGAAGGUGUGGAUUUGAGGUGGGUGGGAGAUGAGGCUCUCAUUGAAUCAACCCAGGCGUUUAACCUUGCCGCUCCAUUGAUUUCAAGAUUCAGAAGGUCCUUUCUUGAAAUGGAGAUGAACCCACCAGGAGCGGCGGGGGGCUUUUGAGCUGCGGGCGGCUUCUGUGCGGCGGUGGGGAAAAUAGAGGAGCCGGACACGUGCACUGUGAUUGCCAAGUUGAUGGUGGAUUUUGGUUCGGACGCUAUCACAUUUUGGUUGGUCAUCUUGGCUCUAAUGCCUCUUGAAUUCUAAGCUAGAAAUGAAGAAGAAGCAGAGGAGUUGAAAGAAAACAGAGAGCUUUAUUUUACGACUCUUCAAACUUGAAGAUUAUAUAGAAAGAAAGAAGAAAACAAAUGGCAGAGAGAAGGCAAAAAACAGGCCACAAUAAUUAGAAGAAGAAGAAGAAGAAGUGAGAGAGAGAAUGUGCG